GCACGGGCGCGUAACGCGUGGGAAUCUGCCCUUUGCUUCGGAAUAACAGUUAGAAAUGACUGCUAAUACCGGAUGAUGUCGCAAGACCAAAGAUUUAUCGGCAAGGGAUGAGCCCGCGUAGGAUUAGGUAGUUGGUGGGGUAAAGGCUCACCAAGCCGACGAUCCUUAGCUGGUCUGAGAGGAUGAUCAGCCACACUGGGACUGAGACACGGCCCAGACUCCUACGGGAGGCAGCAGUGGGGAAUAUUGGACAAUGGGCGAAAGCCUGAUCCAGCAAUGCCGCGUGAGUGAUGAAGGCCUUAGGGUUGUAAAGCUCUUUUACCAGGGAUGAUAAUGACAGUACCUGGAGAAUAAGCUCCGGCUAACUCCGUGCCAGCAGCCGCGGUAAUACGGAGGGAGCUAGCGUUGUUCGGAAUUACUGGGCGUAAAGCGCACGUAGGCGGCGACUCAAGUCAGAGGUGAAAGCCCUGGGCUCAACCCGGGAAUUGCGCUUGAUACUGGUGCGCUAGAAUCCAGGAGAGGUUGGUGGAAUUCCCAGUGUAGAGGUGAAAUUCGUAGAGAUUGGGAAGAACACC
rnacentral:rRNA from 1 species